GCCUCCUGCCCGCCCUCCGGCCGCGGAGCUGGAAACCGGGCUCCGCGCGUCCGGGGCGGCUGGCGGCGCGGGCAGGCAGGCGGGGAGGACAGGCUGGGGGCGGCGACCGCGAGGGGCCGCGCGCGGAGGGCGCCUGGUGCAGCAUGGGCGGCCCGCGGGCUUGGGCGCUGCUCUGCCUCGGGCUCCUGCUCCCGGGAGGCGGCGCUGCGUGGAGCAUCGGGGCAGCUCCGUUCUCCGGACGCAGGAACUGGUGCUCCUAUGUGGUGACCCGCACCAUCUCAUGCCAUGUGCAGAAUGGCACCUACCUUCAGCGAGUGCUGCAGAACUGCCCCUGGCCCAUGAGCUGUCCGGGGAGCAGCUACAGAACUGUGGUGAGACCCACAUACAAGGUGAUGUACAAGAUAGUGACCGCCCGUGAGUGGAGGUGCUGCCCUGGGCACUCAGGAGUGAGCUGCGAGGAAGUUGCAGCUUCCUCUGCCUCCUUGGAGCCCAUGUGGUCGGGCAGUACCAUGCGGCGGAUGGCGCUUCGGCCCACAGCCUUCUCAGGUUGUCUCAACUGCAGCAAAGUGUCAGAGCUGACAGAGCGGCUGAAGGUGCUGGAGGCCAAGAUGACCAUGCUGACUGUCAUAGAGCAGCCAGUACCUCCAACACCAGCUACCCCUGAGGACCCUGCCCCGCUCUGGGGUCCCCCUCCUGCCCAGGGCAGCCCCGGAGAUGGAGGCCUCCAGGGGCUGCCAGGAGCCAUAGAGAGUGUGAGGGUCCCGCUGCUUCCCCGAAAUGACCAAGUCGGUGCUUGGGGGCUUCCCGGGCCCACCGGCCCCAAGGGAGAUGCCGGCAGUCGGGGCCCAAUGGGGAUGAGAGGCCCACCAGGUCCACAGGGCCCCCCAGGGAGCCCUGGCCGGGCUGGAGCUGUGGGCACCCCUGGAGAGAGGGGACCUCCUGGGCCACCAGGGCCUCCUGGCCCCCCUGGGCCCCCAGCCCCUGUUGGGCCACCCCAUGCCCGGAUCUCCCAGCAUGGAGACCCAUUGCUGUCCAACACCUUCACUGAGACCAACAACCACUGGCCCCAGGGACCCACUGGGCCUCCAGGCCCUCCAGGGCCCAUGGGUCCCCCUGGGCCUCCUGGCCCCACAGGUGUCCCUGGGAGUCCUGGUCACAUAGGACCCCCAGGCCCCACUGGACCCAAAGGAAUCUCUGGCCACCCAGGAGAGAAGGGCGAGAGAGGACUGCGUGGGGAGCCUGGCCCCCAAGGCUCUGCUGGGCAGCGGGGGGAACCUGGCCCUAAGGGAGACCCUGGUGAGAAGAGCCACUGGCGCAGCAGGAUUUGCGGCCUUGUCAGAGAGCAGCCAGCUGGGAUCCAACGGGACCUUCUGGGAGGUCCUGCAGGGGUUGCUUCCUUCCGUCUGCCUUGUUGUCCCCCUCCUGUCCUCACCUGGUCUUGUUCUGGCUGUCCAUGGACCCUGGGCUGUGGCAGGGGGAGGGGUUGCACCAGCUACGCGAGGCUUUGAAGAUUUUAGCUGAGAGGGUUUUAAUCUUGGAAACAAUGAUUGGGCUCUAUGAACCAGAGCUGGGGUCUGGGGCGGGCCCUGCCGGCACAGGCACCCCCAGCCUCCUUCGGGGCAAGAGGGGCGGACAUGCAACCAACUACCGGAUCGUGGCCCCCAGGAGCCGGGACGAGAGAGGCUGAGGGUGGUGGCGGCCCCUGAGGCAGACCAGGCCAGGCUUCCCCUCCUACCUGGACUCGGCCAGCUGCCUCCAGGGACCGCCCGUCCAUAUUUAUUAAUGUCCUCAGGGUCCCUUCUGCCAUCUAGGCCUUAGGGGUAAGCAGGUCUCAGUCCUGGCACCAUGCACAUGUCUGAGGCUGAGCAAGGGCUGAGAGGAGAGGCUUGGGCCUCAGUUUCCCUCUGUGAAGUGGGGGGAGGCAGGCCUUCAAGGAGGGAUAGAGGUACAAGGCUUCGUCUCAUCUGCUGUCUGAGCAUCCAGGCCCAAAGGCACUGAGGGAGUCAGGAGCUGGGGCUCGGCACAUGCAGAGAUGACAGGGCAGGGGGCAGUCUUCCUCCCCCUCCCCGACCAAACCUCGGGGAGCCCUCCUGUGCCCCUCCCUCCUUGUUGUCCAGUGCUGGGCUCCCCACCCCGAGGUCAGGCUGCCCAAUCCUCUGACUGGAUCACCGGGGGCUUCUUGCCUCAGUUCUUCCCUCUGAGCCCCCAGGCCCUCCCGCAUCUCAGGUUGGGGAUGGGGACAUGGAGAGGAAGGGGCCGCCUACUCCUGCAAAUGCUUGUGACAGAUGCCAGGAGGUAGAUGUGUGCUGGCCAAUAAAGGCCCCUACCUGAUUCCCCGCA